AGGAGAUGGUGUGGGGGCUUCAGCCUCUGACACACACUACACCCCCAAAAAGGACCAACAAAAAUGAACUCCAAUCCGAAAAUGACAGCCUCUUGCUGCACAAAUGCUGAGUGUAACGUUGCUAUGUUUCUUUGCCUUACUCUGUGCCAGAAUGCGGCCCCUCUAGCCCUUGACUUGGAAAAUCUGGAGCUACCACUGAAGUCAACAAUGGCUACUGAAGGCACAAAAGGCCGUACAUGGUGGGUGAGGGGGGCUCAAGAACCGGAGAAGUGGAGUCGCCAGGCCUCAGAACAGCGCCAGGGAUCUGGGGAGCAGGAACUACCAGGAAGGUUGCGGACUCCGAUGCUGAUGCUGAAACCCCUUUCUAACCGGUAGCUCUAGAGUAAACAAACGCUUGGACUUUCUUCAUCCCCUGAAGACAAAGAACUUGUUCAUGAGCCUCUCCAGGCAGCUGGUGGUCUGAGCUGUCAGGAAUGACGGAUGAGUGGCUGCUUUUGCCUGGUGCCUCCGCGGCAGCUAAGGUAGCACUCACAGGACUGUCUACAGCAUGGACUCAGUGUUCAGGUGUUCAGGGAGUUAUUACCGGAGCAGCUCACUCUAUCUUAAGGCAGACAGCCCCGGGCAAAGCGCAGCGGAUAAACACAAAUGACAUCUUAUGAAACCUAAGUUCAUGUGAAAUCCUAGAUGAUUCUGUUGUCAGAAGUGAAAAUAUAUAUUGCAUUUUUAUCUAAAAAUAAAAAUGAACGUGAUGAUCUUUCUGCUUUUU
rnacentral:lncRNA from 1 species